rnacentral:rRNA from 1 species
UGCCAGCCGCCGCGGUAAAACCAGCACCUCAAGUGGUCAGGAUGAUUAUUGGGCCUAAAGCAUCCGUAGCCGGCUCUGUAAGUUUUCGGUUAAAUCUGUACGCUCAACGUACAGGCUGCCGGGAAUACUGCAGAGCUAGGGAGUGGGAGAGGUAGACGGUACUCGGUAGGAAGGGGUAAAAUCCUUUGAUCUAUUGAUGACCACCUGUGGCGAAGGCGGUCUACCAGAACACGUCCGACGGUGAGGGAUGAAAGCUGGGGGAGCAAACCGGAUUAGAUA